AGGCUGCCUCUGACAACGAAGGCGGCGAUGACAUGUCAGAGGAGACCAAGUCUGGCUGCUCAGACUCUGAGGGAUCUGAGGCUGACAACCGAG